GACGAACGCUGGCGGCGUGCCUAAUACAUGCAAGUCGAACGCUGAAGGAGGAGCUUGCUUCUCUGGAUGAGUUGCGAACGGGUGAGUAACGCGUAGGUAACCUGCCUGGUAGCGGGGGAUAACUAUUGGAAACGAUAGCUAAUACCGCAUAAUAGUAGAUGUUGCAUGACAUUUGCUUAAAAGGUGCAAUUGCAUCACUACCAGAUGGACCUGCGUUGUAUUAGCUAGUUGGUGAGGUAACGGCUCACCAAGGCAACGAUACAUAGCCGACCUGAGAGGGUGAUCGGCCACACUGGAACUGAGACACGGCCCAGACUCCUACGGGAGGCAGCAGUAGGGAAUCUUCGGCAAUGGACGAAAGUCUGACCGAGCAACGCCGCGUGAGUGAAGAAGGUGUUCGGAUCGUAAAGCUCUGUUGUAAGGGAAGAACGAGUGUGGGAGUGAAAGGUCCACACUGGAACGGAAUUUAACAAAAAGGGGCGGCUAACUACGUG
rnacentral:rRNA from 1 species